CAUGCAAGUCGAACGCGAAAGGCCCCUUCGGGGGCCGAGUAGAGUGGCGCACGGGUGAGUAACACGUAGGUAAUCUACCUCUGGGUGGGGAAUAACAGCCGGAAACGGCUGCCAAUACCGCAUAAUGCAGCGGCACCACAUGGUGACAGUUGUUAAAGCGGGGGAUCGUAAGACCUCGCGCCUAGAGAUGAGCCUGCGGCGGAUUAGCUAGUUGGCAGGGUAACGGCCUACCAAGGCAACGAUCCGUAGCCGGCCUGAGAGGGCGGACGGCCACACUGGCACUGACAUACGGGCCAGACUCCUACGGGAGGCAGCAGUCGGGAAUUUUGGGCAAUGGGCGAAAGCCUGACCCAGCAACGCCGCGUGAAGGAUGUAGCUUUUCGGAGUGUAAACUUCAUAAGAAUGGGACGAAUAAGGAGGGGUUAACACCCCCUUUGAUGACGGUACCAUUUGCAAGCUCCGGCUAACUCCGUGCCAGCAGCCGCGGUAAUACGGGGGGAGCAAGCGUUGUUCGGAUUUACUGGGCGUAAAGGGCGCGUAGGCGGCGCAACAAGUCACUUGUGAAAUCUCCGGGCUUAACCCGGAGCGGCCAAGUGAUACUGUCGUGCUAGAGUGCGGAAGGGGCUACUGGAAUUCUCGGUGUAGCGGUGAAAUGCGUAGAUAUCGAGAGGAACACCUGCGGCGAAGGCGGGUAGCUGGGCCGACACUGACGCUGAGGCGCGAAAGCCAGGGGAGCGAACGGGAUUAGAUACCCCGGUAGUCCUGGCCUUAAACGAUGGAUACUUGGUGUCCGGGGUUACAUAGUCCCCGGGUGCCGGCGCUAACGCAUU
rnacentral:rRNA from 1 species